AAACAACAGGAUUGCCUUAGUAGCGGCGAGUGAAGCGGCAAAAGCUCAAAUUUGAAAUCUGGCGCCUUCGGUGUCCGAGUUGUAAUUUGAAGAUUGUAACCUUGGGGUUGGCUCUUGUCUAUGUUUCUUGGAACAGGACGUCACAGAGGGUGAGAAUCCCGUGCGAUGAGAUGCCCAAUUCUAUGUAAGGUGCUUUCGAAGAGUCGAGUUGUUUGGGAAUGCAGCUCUAAGUGGGUGGUAAAUUCCAUCUAAAGCUAAAUAUUGGCGAGAGACCGAUAGCGAACAAGUACAGUGAUGGAAAGAUGAAAAGAACUUUGAAAAGAGAGUGAAAAAGUACGUGAAAUUGUUGAAAGGGAAGGGUUUGAGAUCAGACUCGAUAUUUUGUGAGCCUUGCCUUCGUGGCGGGGUGACCCGCAGCUUAUCGGGCCAGCAUCGGUUUGGGCGGUAGGAUAAUGGCGUAGGAAUGUGACUUUACUUCGGUGAAGUGUUAUAGCCUGCGUUGAUGCUGCCUGCCUAGACCGAGGACUGCGAUUUUAUCAAGGAUGCUGGCAUAAUGAUCCCAAACCGCCCGUCUUGAAACACGGACCAAGGAGUCU
rnacentral:rRNA from 1 species